CCCCUGAAGGAGGAUGCACGAUCCAGCCGAGCUCCGCCGUCGCCGUGGUGGAAUCCAUCAGCGUCUCUUCCAUGGCGGCGUGGCAGAGGCAGUGGCAGCAGCG